rnacentral:lncRNA from 1 species
UUUUUUUUUGUUUUUUGUUUUUUUUUUUUUUUUUUGGUACAAGUGCACUUAAUUCAUUGAGUCCACUCCUCCUCAGCCUGCUGCUGCUCCCUUUUCCUCUCCUCUUCCAUCCAUCCUGCUUGUCCACUUAGGUCAUUAGAGCUCUAUUGUCAUGAUUCUCUAUGUCUGUAUAAAGUCAAAGACCCAUCAAUGAGAGAAAAGAGGGUUUGUCUUUUAAGACUGGCUUGGUUCCCAUACUGUGGUUAUCUCCAGGAGCAUCUCUUCCCUUUGACCAGUUUGCCACUUGUAUGUUGGCUAUAAGAAAAUUUAUGCAAAUAUUUUCUUAUUUUUACUUAUCUGCAUUCUAAGAUAUUCUGAAUAUUUUAGGCUUUUGCAACAUUUUCUCCAGUAGUAUCUGAAUGAAAAAGUCUUGUACAAAUUUAGAACCUUGGAUAGUCUUAUUCCCAGCACAGUGAGCUAAAGCUUUUAUCCCCUUAUCUAGUGAUACAGAUAGAAUGAUGGUAAUUCCAGAAAUAUCAUUGAGGGUUGGAUAACAAUGCUUUUGAAUAUUGUUUCCUUCACAAAUUAAUGGACAUAAACUACCAUAAAAUUUGGAAAGUUUUUCUUAGCGAAAAUAUUUGAUCAUUCUUAGGAGAUACACUGUAUUAUAUUUGAGAGUGUACUGUAUCGUGUGCUGAAAUAUGGUGGCUUCAUUUUCAAUAACAGCCAGACAAGAUGACAAGAAUAUUAGUAAUACUGAGAAGUUCAUAUGCACUAAGGUGUAUAUACUAGUGGUGAGUGUAGAUUCUGAUUGAACUAAGCACAUGAUUUCUGUUUAUUCCUGAGAUAGUUGGGGCAGUUUCCCAGUCCUUAUGCUUUAAAAAAGAAACAAGAAUCACUAAGGUUUUGAAUUAUGAUUAAGCAUUCAAAUCAAAUGGCUACUAGAAUAAACUAUUGUGUUUAGAUAGCACACUGCUACACACGAUUUCCCUAGCCUGCCUUUUCUUCCCUGCUCUCUUACUUAUUUCAUGAACUAUGGAACAAUUAGUUUUGAACAAUGUAGUUUUAGGCUGCUGAUGUGGAAAGAAACUGGAAAUGUAGAGAUGGGUCUUUGGAGACUAGUUAGCAAGCUUCAUGUUACUGUGUUACUAAUUGAAAGUUUUUACUCUCUGAGAGCUUAAAGGGGGGAAAUCAUCAAGUUCUCUUAAAGAAGACACAUGAAAUUGACAAUCAAUACCCAACGGAGAUUUCUUUUCUGUGGAUACAUUUUAACAAAACACCCAUCUUCGCAUGCAGUUACAGCCCUUACAAGAGUGCUUGCUCUUAGGCGCAUCCAUUGAAUGUAGUUCUGCUUUUAGGUAGCAGUUGCUGAAAUCUCUUUAACGUGAGUGCAAUGCCUUGUCAAACAGCUAACCGUAGAAUAGGAAGGGAAAGGGCUGAAGAAGAGAAUGAGAAAGAAGGGGAAACCAUGUCAGCCUCUUAUUGACAUAGAGACAAGGGUGUUUGGGAAGAUCAACCUGAGCUUGAUUAGAUGACAGGGUUGAGGUCUGCGUUAGUCAUUUGGGCAAAGUUGGAUCUAAACAGGGUUAUCUAGUGCAGGCCAGAGGUCCUUUCAGUAUGAUCCAAAAGUCUGAGGAUAAACUAGAAGGAGACUGGGGAAACUUUGUUUUCCAUUCAAUACCUCCACUCGGAACACACUUUUUCCUUCUUGUUUGGAGUUCAGAUUUGGAAUACUUAGAAACCAUUCUACGGGGGUGGGUGGGUAAGGGGGACUUUUGGUAUAGCAUUGGAAAUGUAAAUGAGCUAAAUACCUAAUAAAAAAAAAUG